rnacentral:rRNA from 1 species
GACGAACGCUGGCGGCGUGCUUAACACAUGCAAGUCGAACGGAAAGGCCCUGCUUUUGUGGGGUGCUCGAGUGGCGAACGGGUGAGUAACACGUGAGUAACCUGCCCUUGACUUUGGGAUAACUUCAGGAAACUGGGGCUAAUACCGGAUAGGAGCUCCUGCUGCAUGGUGGGGGUUGGAAAGUUUCGGCGGUUGGGGAUGGACUCGCGGCUUAUCAGCUUGUUGGUGGGGUAGUGGCUUACCAAGGCUUUGACGGGUAGCCGGCCUGAGAGGGUGACCGGCCACAUUGGUACUGAGAUACGGCCCAGACUCCUACGGGAGGCAGCGGUGGGGAAUAUUGCACAAUGGGCGGAAGCCUGAUGCAGCAACGCCGCGUGCGGGAUGACGGCCUUCGGGUUGUAAACCGCUUUCGCCUGUGACGAAGCGUGAGUGACGGUAAUGGGUAAAGAAGCACCGGCUAACUACGUG